CGUUUGGGUCUCGCGCAACGGGAACCAGUGAACCGUGUCAGGUCAGGAAUGGAGCAGCACUAAGCUGGACCUUCCGUGUGCCGUGAGGGCGCCUGGGCUGAGC
rnacentral:SRP_RNA from 1 species